rnacentral:lncRNA from 1 species
GGGGGAUUUGGGAAUGGGGGCGGGGGUUUAUGAAUGGGGGCGGGGAAUGAGGGGGGAUUUGUCAAUGGGGGCGGGGAUUUGGGGGUGGGGGGGGUGUGAAUGGGGGGGCAAUGGGGGGGGAUUUGUGAAUGGGGGCAGAGAUUUGGGGAUGGGGGGGGAAUGGGAGGGGGGUGAAUGAGGGGGGAUUUGUGAAUGGGGGGGUGUGAAUGGGGGGGUGUGAAUGGGGGCAGGGAUUUGUGAAUGGAGGGGGAGUGAGAAUGGGGGGGGAAUGGGAAGGAGGUGAAUGGGGGGGGAAUGUGAAUGGGGGGGAGAGAGGGAGGGAAUGUGAAUGGGGGGGAGGGAAUUGUGAAUGGGAGGGAGGGGGAGGGGGGAAUUGUGGGUGGGGGGGAGGAAGGGGGGGGUGGAAUUGUGAAUGGGGGUGGUGGGAGAGGGAGGAAUCGUGAAUGGAAUGUGAGCGGGGAAGGAAAAAGUGAAUGGAGGGAGACGGGAACAGAAAGCAGUUCUGAAUGGAAUGGAAUGGAAUGGAAUGGGGUGGGGUGGGGGUGGGGAGGGGUGGGGGUCCUGGCAGCUCACAGAGGUGGGAGGGGGGGGUUGGAAAAGUCCUGGCAGCUCACAAAGGAAUGGGGGUGUUGGGAAGGAAAGGUCCUGAAAGGUCACAGAGCCACGGGGUGGGUGGGUGGGGUGGGAAAGGUCCUGGCUGGGCACAGAGCUAUGGGGUGGUUGGGUUGGGAUGGAAAGGUCCUGACAGAUCACAGAGAUGUGGAAUGAAUGGGUUGGGAUGGAAAGGUCCUAACAGAUCACAUAGAUGUGGGAUGAAUGAAUUGGGAUGGAAAGGUCCUUACAGAUCACAGAGCUAUGGGGUGGUUGGGUUGGGAUGGAAAGGUCCUGACAGGUCACAGAGCUAUGGGGUGGUUGGGAUGGGAUGGAAAGGUCCUGACAGGUCACAAAGGCAUUGGACUGUUGGAUUGGGAUGGAAAGGUCCUUACAGAUCACAGAGAUGCGGGAUGAAUGAAUUGGGAUGGAAAGGUCCUUACAGAUCACAGACUAUGGGAUGGUUGGGUUGGAAAGGUCCUGGCUGGUCACAGAGAUGUGGAAUGAAUGGGUUGGGAUGGAAAGGUCCUGACAGAUCACAGAGUUAUGGGAUGGUUGGAUUGGGUUGGAAAGGUCCUUACAGACCACAGAGAUGUGGGAUGGUUGGAUUGGGAAGGUCCUGGCAGGUCACAGAGAUGUGGGAUGAAUGGGUUGGGAUAGAAAGGGUCCUGACAGAUCACAGAGCUAUGGGGUGGUUGGGUUGGAUUAGAAAGGUCCUAACAGAUCACAAAGGCAUUGGACAGUUGGGUUGGGAUGGAAAGGUCCUUACAGAUCACAGAGCCAUUGGAUGGUUGGGUUGGGUUGGAAAGGUCCUAACAGGUCACAGAGAUGUGGGAUGGAUGGGUUGGGAUGGAAAGGUCCUGACAGAUCACAGAGAUG